rnacentral:rRNA from 1 species
AACGGCCGCGGUAUCCUAACCGUGCAAAGGUAGCAUAAUCACUUGCCUAUUAAUUGUAGGCUAGAAUGAAUGGGUUAACGAAAUAAAGACUGUCUCAAUUAAUCACCUAAAAAUUACUAUCUACCUGAAGAAGAGUAGAUAAUCUCGAAGGACAAGAAGACCCUAUAGAGCUUAAUUUUAAUUAUAGGACUAUACUAUAAAAAUAUUCGGUUGGGGCGACCCAGGGCUAAUUAAUCACCCACCACAUAAAAGAUAAAUUAAUCAAGUAAUUGACCCCUAAAAGAUCAUAAGAACAAGCUACCUUAGGGAUAACAGGCUAAUCCCACUCAAGAGUCCUUAUCAACAGUGGGGUUUGGCACCUCGAUGUUGGCUUAGG